CUCAGAUUGAACGCUGGCGGCAUGCCUUACACAUGCAAGUCGAACGGCAGCACGGGAGCAAUCCUGGUGGCGAGUGGCGAACGGGUGAGUAAUACAUCGGAACGUGCCCAAUCGUGGGGGAUAACGCAGCGAAAGCUGUGCUAAUACCGCAUAAGAUCUACGGAUGAAAGCAGGGGAUCGCAAGACCUUGCGCGAAUGGAGCGGCCGAUGGCAGAUUAGGUAGUUGGUGAGGUAAAGGCUCACCAAGCCUUCGAUCUGUAACUGGUCUGAGAGGACGACCAGCCACACUGGGACUGAGACACGGCCCAGACUCCUACGGGAGGCAGCAGUGGGGAAUUUUGGACAAUGGGCGCAAGCCUGAUCCAGCCAUGCCGCGUGCAGGAUAAAGGCCUUCGGGUUGUAAACUGCUUUUGUACGGAACGAAACGGCCUUUUCUAAUAAAGAGGGCUAAUGACGGUACCGUAAGAAUAAGCACCGGCUAACUACGUGCCAGCAGCCGCGGUAAUACGUAGGGUGCAAGCGUUAAUCGGAAUUACUGGGCGUAAAGCGUGCGCAGGCGGUUAUGUAAGACAGUUGUGAAAUCC
rnacentral:rRNA from 1 species